rnacentral:rRNA from 1 species
AGAGUGAACGCUGGCGGUAGGCCUAACACAUGCAAGUCGAACGGCAGCACAGUGGUAGCAAUACCAUGGGUGGCGAGUGGCGGACGGGUGAGGAAUACAUCGGAAUCUACCUUUUCGUGGGGGAUAACGUAGGGAAACUUACGCUAAUACCGCAUACGCCCUUUGGGGGAAAGCCGGGGAUCACAAGACCUGGCGCGGAUAGAUGAGCCGAUGUCGGAUUAGCUAGUUGGUGAGGUAAUGGCUCACCAAGGCGACGAUCCGUAGCUGGUCUGAGAGGAUGAUCAGCCACACUGGAACUGAGACACGGUCCAGACUCCUACGGGAGCAGCAGUGGGAAUAUUGGACAAUGGGCGCAAGCCUGAUCCAGCCGUACGCGUGGGUGAAGGAGGCCUUGGGUAGUAAACGUCCCUUUUAGUUAGGAAAGAAAGCAAAGUUCGGUUAAAUACCCGGUUUGUUACGUGUAACCGGUUAACCC